rnacentral:lncRNA from 1 species
AAUGAAGGAAAUAAAUCGAGUUCAUCGAACCUUCUGUGAAUCUGUGAUCAACUAUUCAAACAGUGUAAUUCAACUUGGCAUAUUGGCCUACAAUCGUUUAAUAUAAAAUAAUAUUGCGAUAUGAAAGAAAUUGCUGGACCUACUUCUUUUUCAAAAAUGAAUUUUAGAGAUAAUAUAUUGACUUGAACCUAUUGAAAUCCUUUGGCGUUGACUUUACAAAUUUGGUAUCACAAGUGACAAGGCCUCCUAUGACAUUAUCAUGACUGUUCAUUGAUAUUGGAAAAAUAGUUUAAAGAUCGAUGCUUGGAUGAAUCAGGGAACUUCAUUUACAAAACAGACAAUAAAAGACCUGAUUUAUCUUAACGACAG